rnacentral:rRNA from 1 species
UACGUAGGGGGCAAGCGUUGUCCGGAUUUACUGGGCGUAAAGAGCGCGUAGGCGGAAGCUUAAAGUGUGGCCUGAAAGCCCCCGGCUCAACCGGGGAAGGUGGCUGCAAACUGGGCUUCUUGAGGGGGAUAGGGGAAAGUGGAAUUCCGGGUGUAGCGGUGAAAGUGCGUAGAGAUCCGGAGGAACACCAGUCGGCGAAGGCGCUU